CCCUUCUCAGGAUCGCACCUGGAGAGUUUCCAGUAGUCUACCAGUCUCAGCUACGGGAGGUAGGGUCAAGCAGAGGCCUACCCAUUCCAUUCCUAGCUUGGGGAGGGGCUAGAGAGUGGAUGACAAUCUGCUGCAAGU